rnacentral:lncRNA from 1 species
AACCAGCAGGCUGGUGAUCUCCUCGCGUCGGCCCUGUUCAGCAGUUCCUGCGUCCCCGCUUGGCUGCCUCCGCUCGUGGGCCUCCACUCCUGGGCCUCCGCUUGGGUGCCUCCGUUCAGGGAUUCCCCGUUUGGCAAGCAACCCCCAUGGGGUGAAGGUGGCGAGAGCAGAGCUGGAAGUGGGCCAGGAGAGCAGCUGCUUGAGCAGCAGCUCAAAUGGGGCUCGUGGACAUCUCCCCACCUACUGCACGGCCCUGUCGCCAGCUGGAUCCUCUGGAAAAUCCCUCAGAAAAAAGUUUUUUUGACACAAGGCUUCGCACUUCACACAGCAGGAGAGCGCGCAGUGCUCCCAUCAGCAGGACACAGGUACGGGGCUGGGGGGGGGGUUCAGGCUUGGAAAUGGGGGGAGAAUGAAUUGCAAGGGGAAAAAAUGAGUUGCAGGGUGGAAAAAAAUGAUUUGCAGGAUGGAAAAAGUGAAUUGCAAGGGGAAAAAAUGAGUUGCAGGGUGAAAAAAAUGAAUUGUAGUGAAAAACUCAGUUGUAAAGGAGGGAAAAUCAAGCGGGGGAGAAUCAAUUGCAGGGGGGAAAAAAAUUGCAAGUGGAAAAAAUAAAUUGCAAAGGGGGGAAUUAAUUGCAGGGGGAAAAGCUAAUUAGAGGGGAAAAAUUAAUUGCAGGGGGGAAUUAAUUGCUUGGGGGGGGGAAAUUGCAGGGGGAAAACUCUAAUUGCAAGAGGAAAACUCUAAUUGCAGGGGGAGAAUUGUGAUUGCAGGGGGGGUAUUUAAUUCCCCCCACAAAUUGGGGGUGAUGUUUUUUUUCUGUGUUUUGGUUUCUUAUGCCACAUGGGCAUUUAGUUUUUUUCUCAUCCAGGGUUGCCACUCUGAUGGUGCGCGACUGCUGGUUGCGCAACUUUCCAGUUGUCCCAAUUGACUUUGAGCCAUGGUUUUUCUGUUGGCAUAUUUGGUGUCAGAAUUAUCGUCUAAAAUGAUUUCUAUUUCGGUGCAUGGGGAAGGGAAAAGAAGAGAAGAGAAAAAAGAAAAAUAGAGAAGAGAAGGAACUCCUGAGCUGAGGCAGGGGAAGUUUAGGCUGGACAUCAGGAAGAGGCUCUUCACAGAGAGGGUGGUCGCACACUGGAACAGGCUCCCCAGUGAAGUACUCACUGCACCAAGCCUGUCUGAAUUUAAGAAGCGUUUGGACUGUGCACUUAGUCACAUGGUCUAAAAUUUUGGGUAGACCUGUGUGGUGCCAGGAGUUGGACUUGAUGAUCCUUAUGGGUCCCUUCCAGCUCGGGAUAUUCUGCGAGUCUAUGAUUCUAAAAAUGUUCCCCGCAGCUGCAGCAGCCGGUGCUUUAGCACCUUUUCAGAAACUCAUCCACGACAAUAUGUAACAGAUCAACACCUCGUUUUGUUUUAUGUCUUUGUUUAAUUUUUAAGCCAUCAAACCCCAGAACAACCAGGCCUCUCUGUUCGCAGCUCUUCCUGAGUCUGGCCUUUUGAAUUUUCUUGCUUUCUCUUGGACUCUUGGCUUUAUCUUUUAAAUAACCCCCAAGAGAGAUUCUUUUCAUACUAAAGCACUUUGCAGCAGCAAGACAUCCAAGCCAGGAUGAAAUUUUCU